UAACUACUAACUAGAGGUGACUGGUGUUAUAGUAACUACUAACUAGAGGUGACUGGUGUUAUAGUAACUACUAACUAGAGGUGACUGGUGUUAUAGUAACUACUAACUAGAGGUGACUGGUGUUAUAGUAACUACUAACUAGAGGUGACUGGUGUUAUAGUAACUACUAACUAGAGGUGACUGGUGUUAUAGUAACUACUAACUAGAGGUGACUGGUGUUAUAGUAACUACUAACUAGAGGUGACUGGUGUUAUAGUAACUACUAACUAGAGGUGACUGGUGUUAUAGUAACUACUAACUAGAGGUGACUGGUGUUAUAGUAACUACUAACUAGAGGGUGACUGGCGUUUUAUAGAUUUAGCAUAGCAGCAGGCUAACACUCGUCCUCACCAUGUGGUUUAGCAUAGCGGCAGGCUAACACUCGUCCUCACCA